UCCCCUGUAGGACAAAAGCACAAGACAAUAUGGUCAGUUGUCAGGCAUUCAAGUUCAACAAAGAGAGUACAAUGUAUCAAUGUAUCCCACUCUUUUCUAAUGUUACAUCUAUUCCAACUAAUUAUGGAAGGAACCAUGAAAGCUGCUUGCAGUGUUCAGGUAACACUAAUUGGAACCAGCUUUCAGAGAAAGUGGAAAUGCCUUAGGGAGUGUGUCUCAGGUGGUCAGAUACAUGCCAAGGAUAGGGCAGGCCUGUGUUUCAGUCCCAGGGAGGCAGCAAUGUAAAGUGAAAAGACAACGAUUUGUAAUCACAGGUUUAAAAUCUGGCUCUGCCUUGUAUUAGGUUUGUGACUUUGGAUUAGUUUCUUAACAUGUUUUAUAAACAAAUAUAAAAAUAUAUGCCAUAUAGGGCUGUUGAGAAGAGUUCAAAGAGAACAUAUUUCUUUCAUACUUUCAGAAGUUCAGUCCUUCUGAUCCUUUGUAAUCAACUUAUUCAACAAAGUGUCUAGCUCAUUCUAAGCAAAUAUCGUUUGUUACCUUCCCUUCUAUCCUGAUUUGAUUAGAGGAGGUCAAUGUUAUAAAACGGUCUAUUUUAUACUAAUGGGCCCUGGAAGGUCUGCAGGCCCCGCUCUGCAGGGUACUCCCCAAGCCUCCUAAACCCCCUGGAGAGCCUAGGGCUCUCAGGUGACACCUCAGAAUGUUUCUUUCCAAGGGCAGCAACAACGUCGGAACACGUGAGCCAGGGGUCGCUGGGGCUGGAUGCUUGAUGGGUGUGGUAUUGCUUUUGUUGGUGCUGUAAGCAAUUUGCUUCCCACUUCUCUUCCUUUGCCCUCACAGGGCUGUGAGUAAAGAUGCAACAGAAAGAGAAUACUAUACAAUAGUGAAAAUGAAUGACGCAUAGCUACCCUAUCACCAAAGAUGAAUCUCAAAAACAUAAUGCUAAGCUAAAACAAAGCCAAGUUGAAGAAUACAUAAAAUAUGCUUCCAAUUAUAAACAGGCAAAAAGCUAAGCAGUCUUCUGCCAAGGCAGGGGUUCUCAAAGGGUGGUCCCUGGCCAGCAGCUUCCGCGUCACCUGAGAAACUGUUAGAAAUGCAGAUUUUUGGAGUCACUCCACACUUGCUGAGUCAGAAACCUUGGGGUUAGGGUCCAGCAGUCUGUGUCUUAAGCCCUCCAGGUGAUUCUGGUUCAUAAAAAAGUUUGAGGUAUAAACUUAGGGAAACACACUUAUAUAAACCAUUAAGACAAGAGAAGGAUUAACUCUGAAAUUCAGGGUAGUGUUACCUUCUAGGGAUAGUUGUGAAUACGACUGGGGAGGGUCAUGUGGGGAACCUUCAAAGAUACUAGAAACAGGUAUGACUUUUAUUAUUAUCCUUUUAGACUAUAUAUAUACAUUGUAUAUGCUUCCUCAUUUAGCUUAUAUGUUUUAUGAUAAGACAUUUCUAAGUUAAAAAAAAGGUUUACUGCAAAUGAGUCAAGGCAUCCUGUGCCUGAUACCACCUUACUGAUAUGGUAGAAAACACUAGUAAGGCUGAGGAUGUCAUUUAACACUGAAGUUCACCCAAUCCUCUGCUUCUCACCAUUUCACCCCAAAAUGCUGGGAACAGCCAAUCACUAAACAUGCAAGAGAAAGCAUAAGCAUCCUGUAACAGCUGUGUACUCGGCCCUCAUCAGUAAUACUCUGAGCCCUGAGGCCUGGGCUCCUCCGGUCUAUUCCCCUUUGUUUCCUUGCAGAGCUUCCCCUGAUUUUGCUGGGUGUUCACCCCUCAGUGUGACCACCUCCCCAAGGUGACCACCUCCCCAAACUCAGGGGUGAGUGAUCUAAGUUAAUUUGAGUGGUCCCAAUCUCCUGAAUGGUGAUUAGUGUAGCCAGAGACCUGUGAUGGAGCCCUGGCCAGUGAGAUUGGAGAAAUGAGGGUGGGAGAGGGGGAGGUGCUCUAGCUAAAAAUUUCUCAUCUCUAAAAAGAAGCACACAGGAAGAAAUACGCCUCUUCUUUCAAUGGCUGCCAUUAUGUCAAAAGGAAAUGCGCAAAACUGCUGUAGCCAUGCUGACCACAAGGGGCUAAUGAUGACCGUCUGGAAGGACAGAGACCCUGGAGCCCUUAACCCACCGUGGAACUGCCUGACUCCAUACUAGUUAUGUAAAUCAAUAAACCAUGUGCAUUUAAUCUUCUGAUACCUAUAACAGAAACUACCCUGACAGCUUUUCCAGGUCCUUUCUUUCUAGUCACUUGCCCCAAAGUUCAAGUGGGAGGGUGUUAAACAUUGGUAUUAAAGAAAAUACUGUGAUAUCCUGUGUUUGAAUAUCAAGAACGAGGUCAAACUUCGUUGUAUCUUACUCACUGGGAGUUGAUCUUGAAUUUUAAGGAGCUGGGCAGUGAAGCUGUGACAUAUUAACAACAAGAGCCAUAGAAAUAGUGAUUUUUAACCUCGAUUUUUAGGACCAUAUAAUCGGUUAACAAAAAUGUGCACACAUUGCCAGCUUCCCUGAGCUGGAGCCUUUCUCCCUUCCUUUUUUUCUCAAGACGGUGUCAUCAGCCUUCAGGCUUCAGUUUUUUGUCUCCUUGGAAAGGAGGACCCUGACCCAGUCUACUCAUGUUGUAUUGUAACAUGUUUGUUUUCUUCAUAGCACCUAUCAAAGUUUAUUAAUGUACAUUCUUUUUAAAUUGUCCCUCUCUCACCAUGCCUCUUUUGUCCAUGACAAUGCCUGCCAAACAGCAGAUCCUCAAAUAACAUUCAUGGAAUUAGUGAAUGGAUGCACUAUCUUCACUUCUGACCUCUCUCUUCCCUCCUCAGGCAAGAAAACUUAUGCCAAAGCCAUCCAUAUAAUCAAACCACAUGUAAAUAAGUUAGGCUCAGAACAAAUACAAAUUACAUAGUUUUGGGGGAAAAAAAGUUCUACACUGCUUUUGACUAAAGCCUUACAUCUGAGAACUGGAAGAGGUAGGUUUUGAAGUCACCUGAAAGGCAACAUUAAAGCUAGCUCUGUGUUACAUCACUUAUUAUUGGGAAGACACAGGUUCCCAUUAUUUUACACUUGACAACAUAAAUGAGUUGCACAACUCCGUGAUGAUGAGCAGCCUCUGAUGACAGAAGCUUCACUGUGUUUCUGCAGGCAGAAUACACUGAGAGCCAUGUUCCUUGCACCAAUAAGAAAGAAAGGGGCAAAGGGCGGCUAUCAAGGGCAGAACAGAUCAUCUAAACAAUAUAAACAGGGAACUGCUUUUGUAAAAGACAGCCCCAAGUCCCCUUGGACAAGUAAACACCUGUCUAUUCACAACAGAAUAAGUCCUGUUGCUUAAAAAGCAGUUCUCAGUAUCUUUGACUCUUUAAGGGACCUGAGAACACCUGCCCUAAGACAUUUCAUAGAGAAGCCAUUCGCCUUGGUUUGGAUCCCUGCCACCCAGGUAUUUUACUGUUUCAAAGAGUACAAUUAAAAUUACUCUUUGACCCAAAUAAAAACCCUGGCCAUUCUAUAUUUCUCUUAACAAGGUGAUUCCCUAAAUGUAUCAAGAUCACAAGCAUUAGAAGAGCAUUUGCUUCAUCUCUAUUCCCCGCCAUUUUAAAGACAUUUUAUUUGACUCACAGAAUUUAAGGUACACAUAAUUUCUUGGUUCUGAACAAUUAACACUGAAAUCAAAUCAAUCAACUAAAAGAUUUUUAAAUGUCUAACAGUCACUGACAAAUAUUUACUGAGUAUACAGCAAGGCACAAUGCUAGGCAAGCAUCAAUAUGAGUUCUGUUAAGCCUGAAAUUCAACAGUUGGUUUGUAAGACAAGCCAUUGUGUCACCUGAUGACAUCUUGGAAUUCUAGGCAGUAGAAUUCUAUACAUAAAAACGAAAAAUAAUAAAACAAAAGCUACAUCACUGUAGUCCCAACACUAUGUGACCAGAAGAUAGCCAAAUCCUAAUGGGUGGCCUUUGAUCUCAAGGGGCUGAUAAGUUGGAGAACAAAUUAAGGAACAAACUAUGUCAUGGUGAUUCUAGGAGCAAUAGGAAUAAAAAAAGUAGGAAAGAACGCUGGCUAGACUGACUGCAGAGGCUCUGUGAAAGAGGCAGUAUCGAGGAUCUUGAACCAUCAUAAGGAUGUAGACAGGUGGGGAGGGUGGGGGGAGAGGAAGGAAUUCUGAAUCAGCAUGACUAAAGGUGUAGAAGGGACAAUCUCUUAUUUUUUACUCCCUAAAACACUGGGGCUUGGGCUAGUUACUUAUGUCUAUGUGCCUCAGUUUCAUCCUCUGUAAAGUGUAAAAUGUGGGUAUUAAUAGCAUGUACCUAUAGGGUUAUUAGGAAAAUGACAUGAACUAAUACAUAUUGAGUAUUUAGAUUGUGCCUGGCAUACUAAGAGGGGCUCUGGAGAGGCCAACAGAAACUACCCAGUAUGGAACUGAAUCACAGAGAUGAAACUGGCCAAGGAGAACGGAAUGAAAGACAUAAAGGAGUUUAAGGAGAUGCCAAGAACUCUUGACCAAUUUCCAAAAAGAGAGUAUCUCAUUUGGACUGACAUAAUUCAGAAAACACUUCAAGCAACUGUGUUAAAAACUGAGCACAGAGUUAAGGGUUCCUAUAUAAUGUUACAGUAGAAAAGAAAAAUAGUUGUAAGUUUUUGAGGCAGAGCUUCGGCAACUGAGUUUGUUUUCCUGUAAGACGAAUUCCUAAUGACAGAUGGCUGUGGCUGGCUCUCCCCAGUGGCACCACUUUUGAUAAAUGAAGAGCAACAACUCAUUAGGAAAUUUUAACAAGAGAAUUUGAUGACAAAGAGGUGAUCUCCUUUCAUGAUGGUUUGUACAAUUAAAAAUGAAAUUGCUUAAAUGCUUAUUCAAAGUAAACUGUUACUAAAACCACAACUCUUCACAAAAACUCAUCCUCAGAAGCAAAUCUUAACCAGUAAACAAUUCAUGCAAGCCUCCCACACGAAAUAUAAAUACUUCAGUGUAUACACAAUUCAGCCCAACUGUGCAAAAAAUAUUACUGAUCUGCUUACUCUAGCUUAAACAGUAAUAUUCAUGUGGCUGGGGGUAAGAACUUCUCAAGCACACACACAUGCAUCUGGAAGGUAAAAUCUUCCAGAUUCAAACACCACCAAAUCCUGGGAGGUUUUCUUUCUUUUUCUUUUCUUCUUGGCUACUGAAUAAUCUUGAAAGCGCCCUGCCCUUGAUACAACUUCUGAAAGUCCUCUUAUUCUCCUCUUCUCAUAUUCAGUGACAUCUAAUAAUAACUAAACUCCACAACAUUUCAGAGGAAGCAAAAUCAUUAACACGUUGGCAUUCAGGUAUCCCUCAUAUCCACGAAUGUAAUAUGUGAAUUAAUCUAUGAAAGAGCCCAAGAUACCCAAACUGCAUUUUUGUAUAUCAAUUCUAUUUUCUUACUAAAUUCUAUGACAAAGCCCAAGCUGUUAGAGUACAAAUGGAUAAAUUGAGCUCUUAAAGGAAAAUAGGUGACUUUAUAAAAAUAUUAAGUUCUCUUCACGUUACCUUUUGGGUUCUUUAAAGGAUAUACUCACACAUGUGUGUUCACUAUACCUACUUGGUACAGAGCCAUCUGAGAUGAGCAGGUCUGAUUCUGACCUGUUCCUGGGGCAGACAUUUCAGCAGAUCAUCAUCAGUCACAGCAGACCCCGAAAACUUGCCUACUCAUUUGCUAGCAAAUACUUGCUCAGAAUUGGAUGCAACUUUCUGUGCAAUCCUCUAGGAUACUAGACAUUAAUGAACCCAACAAUGAGACCCUGGGAAGGUCCUCAACCCCUUUGGGCCUCUGCCUCUGAUGGGGAGCGACAAGGCCCCCACCUACCCCCACCUACCUGUUUCCUGCAAGGGGGGAAAAAGACAAGAAUGAGAUAAUGUCUGCAGAGUCCAAUGCAGCUUUUGUCUUUUCUGUUAGUUACUAUCUAACCACUAUCUUGACUUCAAAACUGCCUGAAACACAAAUAAAUCUUUACAAACUGUUUCUUAAGACUUAGGGGAUUUUGUUUUGUCGGUCUGCAGCCGUUUUCUUUAAUCAAGAAAUAGCAGACAUCAGACUUAACUGAGAUCAACCUGGGCAAUCCAGCCAAGGUUAAGUCACUCUCUCUUUGCUUAGGCUUAUUCCAGAACCCUGGGGAAUCGCUUCACCUCUUGGUGCCCUCACCUUGCAUGUAGAGUGAUGAUAGUGUCCCCACCUACCUGUUUCUUAUAAAUCAGGGUGAAAGAGAAGGACAAUGAGAUAAUGUUUGUAAAGAGCUGGGCGCCUACAGAAUAAAAGCUCUCAUUAAUACACGUAUAUAAAGGCUCUUAUUGACACACGAUUUAACUCUGGACAAACAUGGGGUAUCACUUCAAACCAAAGGCCUCCUUAUACAAAGGAAGAAAUUAAGAGUAGGAAACAUUGUAGCACUGUGGCUGUAUGGCACUCCCUUAUGAGAACACAUUGUAGGAAUGUGAAGAUGGGCAAAAAAAUGCAGUGCCAACAAGCGCCAGUCUCGUUCUCGGGGACAGUUCUGACCUGCUUCACCACGAGACUUGGUACAGCCACUCAGAGACCAGCAGAGACAGACCUGCUGCACGAUUCCUAGGUGGUGUUCCUGAAUCCUCUGGAUUGCCACCAUUUUGCAGGGCUGAUUUACUGUGUCAAGGAACAGGCUUACAGCAGUGGAAGCUGUAAAACGAACUAUCAGCGACUGAGAGGGGAACAGAAUACGCUAAUUUUUAUCAAAGUGCAAACGGGCUUCUUUCUAAGGCAUCUUUUCUCCUCAUUGCCUCCAUCUGAAAGAUUUAGUCAACUUAACAUUUGUGUCUGUCAACAGCUUUGAGAAGCUGCUGGUGACCCCAGUAACCCUCGGGAAGAAUGAAGCUGUUUGAAGAAAGGAAGGCACCAGGGGAAUUGGAUGUGCAGAAGUUCCCAAACCACAAUCAGCCAACAACCAAAUACUGUUGUUGCGAGUCUGACCGCAGCCCACUGUCACUGGCCUUCUUGACCUUGUGGUCUAUCACUGGCAUCCAAGGCCUUUGUUUCCUGACUUGACCUGUGCUACCCAGACAUGUGAGAAACAGAACCUUAUCUCCGCAGACUAUUUAAAACCUUAGUGCGUGACCUUUCGCGAAUUAAAACAAAGACACUGCUAAACAAACAGAAUAAAACAACUAGUAUGCAACUGA